UACGUAGGAUGCAAGCGUUGUCCGGAAUUAUUGGGCGUAAAGAGCGCGCAGGCGGUCUAUCAAGUCAGAUGUGAAAUAUCCGGGCUUAACCCGGAGGGGUCAUUUGAAACUGGUAGACUAGAGUACAGCAGAGGAUAGCGGAAUUCCCGGUGUAGUGGUGAAAUGCGUAGAUAUCCGGAGGAACACCAGCGGCGAAGGCGGCAUCCUGGACUGGUCCUGACACUCAUGAGCGAAAGCGUGGGGAGCGAUCCGG
rnacentral:rRNA from 1 species